AAUUAGCCGGAUUAGAGGAAUACAGAUGUAAUUUAGGCCAAAUGUAUGUAUCGCUUGUUUGAGCGCGCGGCUGCGUGAGGUGAGAAGGCCUCGCGCUGGUGAUUAAUUACAGCCAGGCCGCGUGACAGAGGUGGGAGCUCUCCCAAUGCUGUCUGCAGCUACAUGAAGGCAAAUGCAGGCUGGCUAAUUGACCCGGCUUCUGUAAGGCCAUCCAUCAAGCGUGGCCUGAGCGGCCCCGUAAGAAACACAUUAUUCAGAGGCCCACGCUGUGCAUCGCUGGCUAAUCGAUCAGGACAGUAGUGUGAGCUCUGAGAUGCCGGAUGGCCAAGGAGUAUGGCACUAUGAUGAUGAAGUAAAUAUCUGCAACACGUAUCUCUGGAUUUUCUUAUCACUUUAUCUCUAUGUUUUUUAUAUAUUAUAUAUUUAUUAUCAUCUUCUACCUGUCACUUGAAUUUUGUUGUUGUUCUGCUGUUGUUGUUGUUUUGAUCUUUCUUAAUUUUUGUUUUGUGCUGCUCCUGUUAUCAUAGUUCUGGUUUAUUUGAUUUACUAGUGUUGCUGUUGUGCUGUGAGCUGAUUCAGUCAGGUGUCGUGGGAUCAGGCUGGACUUUUUUUCUUUGUUCCUGUAAUUGCUUGACAUAUUAUACUAACUUGCUAAGUUAAGAUUUUUUUUUUGUUUUGCGUCUUUUUACGUUUUUUUCCACUUUCACCUAUUUACACAAGUGUGUAUUUUGUAUCUAUAAAAGUAUCUAUAUCAGUGUCUGUGAUUUUUCUCAAACGAGGCAUAUUACACAAAAAGAGUCCACAGGCAAAAUAUUUUAAAGUUUUGAUAGAAUUUACUCAUAGCUUAUGUACUUUACCUUAGCCAUGUUAUAAUAACAGGUUACUGUAGUGAUACCAGACUACAGCUCAAGUAUUUUUCCUGUGGGUUCUUCUGAUUCCUAAAAUAUGCUUGUGUCCAUUAGUGUUUGUGUUAGAGGUGUUAAAAAACUGUGUGUGUGUGUGUGUGUGCGCGGCUUGGAUUGUUGUUCUUGUUUUUAUAUCAUAAUGGGAACCCAAAGCUGAAGGCAACUCAAUUAAGUUUAAGUUUGUGGAACUAAAAGAGUCCUUUACAGAGUAAGAGUAGUAGUUAGUUAUUCAGCUGUUAUGGUUACUGUAAGGGGUUUGGGAAUGCAUUGUCAAUUGAAAGUCCCCAUGGGUAUAUAGAAACAAAGAAGUGUGUGUUUUUUUUCUGUGCGCAAAAGAGAGUGUGUGAGACAGAUGUGAAAUG
rnacentral:lncRNA from 1 species